ACCACCAGAAUGAUACCAAGAAGACACUCUUCAGAUGUUUUACAACCUACAAUUUGAUUUUUGACUCCAAUAUAUAGAAAAAUCAAACCCUAGGACACACUAGCAACACUUGCUAAAAAUCUCACUACCCUUCUUGCAACUUUUUCCACUCAAUUUCCCUUGCCUUUUUUUUUUAGAUUUUUUUCAAAAUUUUUUCUAUGAUUUCCACAUCCCUUCUCUCUAGUUUCAAUCCAAAAACUCAGUAGCAAAGCCAUGUGGGAUAUCCCCUUUAAAUAAGGGACCAAGGGACGUGUCAUGGGA
rnacentral:lncRNA from 1 species